CGGGGUGUGGCGCAGCCUGGUAGCGCGCUCCGUUCGGGUCGGAGAGGCCCCCAGUUCAAAUCUGGGCACCCCGA
rnacentral:tRNA from 1 species